GUGCUUGCUUUGGCAGCCCACAUACUAAAAUUGGAAUGAUACAGAGAGUAGUAACAUGGCUCCUGUGCAAGAAUGACACACAAAUUGUGAUGUGUUCCAUUAAAAA
ensembl:snRNA U6 U6 spliceosomal RNA